rnacentral:rRNA from 1 species
GACGAACGCUGGCGGCGUGCUUAACACAUGCAAGUCGAACGGAAAGACCCUGCUUUUGUUGGGUGCUCGAGUGGCGAACGGGUGAGUAACACGUGAGUAACCUGCCCUUGACUUUGGGAUAACUUCACGAAACUGGGGCGUAUAACGUAUAGGAGCUCCUGCUGCAUGGUGGUGGUUGGAAAGGUUCGGCGGUUGGGGCUGGGCUCGCGGCUUAUCAGCUUGUUGGUGGGGUAGUGGCUUACCAAGGCUUUGACGGGUAGCCGGCCUGAGAGGGUGACCGGCCACAUUGGGACUGAGAUACGGCCCAGACUCCUGCGGGAGGCAGCAGUGGGGAAUAUUGCACAAUGGGCGGAAGCCUGAUGCAGCAACGCCGCGUGCGGGAUGAAGGCCUUCGGGUUGUAAACCGCUUUCGCCUGGGACGAAGCGUGAGUGACGGUAAUGGGUAAAGAAGCACCGGCUAACUACGUG